GAUGAACGCUGGCGGCGUGCCUAAUACAUGCAAGUCGAGCGAACAGACGAGGUGCUUGCUCCUCUGUCGUUAGCGGCGGACGGGUGAGUAACACGUGUAUAACCUACCUAUAAGACUGGGAUAACUUCGGGAAACCGGAGCUAAUACCGGAUAAUAUAUUGAACCGCAUGGUUCAAUAGUGAAAGACGGUGUUGCUGUCACUUAUAGAUGGAUCCGCGCCGCAUUAGCUAGUUGGUAAGGUAACGGCUUACCAAGGCAACGAUGCGUAGCCGACCUGAGAGGGUGAUCGGCCACACUGGAACUGAGACACGGUCCAGACUCCUACGGGAGGCAGCAGUAGGGAAUCUUCCGCAAUGGGCGAAAGCCUGACGGAGCAACGCCGCGUGAGUGAUGAAGGUCUUCGGAUCGUAAAACUCUGUUAUUAGGGAAGAACAAAUGUGUAAGUAACUAUGCACGUCUUGACGGUACCUAAUCAGAAAGCCACGGCUAACUACGUG
rnacentral:rRNA from 1 species